AGUAUAUUUUUUUAAAGGCCUUGCAUAAUCACAGAGGGACGUUAUCAUGUUCUUUGUGUUUGUUUCUAAAAGAAGCUACAAGAUGCCCUGUCUUUCAAAACCAGUUAAAGUUGAAACAAUCACUACAGGGGAAACCCUCGGUGCUGAUAUAGCUCUGAUGAACCAAGUGAAAUGGAAAGUUAGGCUGGAGGGAACAAACCAGGGUGGACAAUGCACCAUCGUUUUCUGCCCAAUCACCUCCCGUGUUGGCUCAGAUGUGGAGGCAGCCAUGCAAAACGUGCCAUUGGUUGAAAGGAUCAUCCUAGUUUUGAUGCACCACACCAGAGACGUUGACUACUCAACUGCUGGGACGAAGUGGUCAGAUAUAUAUACAAAUAUCGACCUGGAAGUUCAUGUUCUCUUCCAUGAAAGUAUCCCAGGGUUACUCACCUGUUUUAAGAACACGGAGGCGGUCUACCAAAUCCAAAAAUAUUUGGAACCACAUGUCAAAAUGGGUUGGCUUUGGAGAUCAUUACCUAUUUUGUUAUUAUGUGUUAUUGUAAUUCUGUUUGUGGUCCUGCUUCAUGUUUUACUGAGGUAAAGCACAGAUAAACAAACAAAACACAGUGCGAAACGCAAUGGUUCUAGGUUAUUCUGCAACAAAUGUCAUCUAAACAAUCUAUAUUAUAUAAAAAAAAUAUUUUUUCACAAUAUACUGUAACAUACAUGACAUAGGACAAAGUAAAAUGAAGUAUGUAGAAAGAGGCAUUUUCACCAUGACAAAAUACAUAAAAUAAAAUAAUUCUGUGCAUUUACGAGUUUAAAAAAAGAUUUUGUUAACAGAUAUCAAUUGUAAAUAGUUUAAACUGCAAUUAAAAACUGAACCUCAAUAAGUAUAACUUAAAGGAAAAAUAACUUACUUCUAAUUAAAUAUUUCUAUGUGAACUAUAAAUAAUUUCCAGUUGUUUAUAGUUGGUAUUAUUAUUAUUGUUUGUCUGCUUUAAACAUGAAACCAAAGCUCUAUUGAAGUCUCCCAACCAUACAAAAAAUAAUCUGGAGAAUCAUAGUCUGCAUGAGUGCAGCUCACCCAGUCAAUUUACAACAAAUUGUAUUAGGAAUCUAACCGGAAGCCAGUGGAGCUGCUGUAAGACUGCAGUGAUGUGAUGAAAACAGGGUUUUUUGUUAAUAAUGCAAGCAGCUGCAUUCUGAACCAGUUAAAGCUUACAGUAGGAUUUUUGAGGAAGACCAACAAAGUAAUAGAUUGACGUAAUCGAUGUGAGAAGUCACAAUAGUAUGGGUAGGAGUAAAUAUGGAUUGAGGGAAAAUAAAGGGACAAAGACGGUUUAUAUUGUGUAGAUGAAUAUGAGCACAAUGGGAAAUGUUAUUGAUUUUAGGGGUGAAGGCUUUAGUGCUAUUGAGGACGACACCCACACUCUUAACCUGAGGUGAGGGGGAGACUGUAGAACUAUCAAGUGAAAGGAAGGAACUGUCAGCUUUGGAUAACACAGAUCUGGUUCCUACAGGGAGGAGCUCAGUUUUUUCACUUUUUAAUUUAAGUAAGUUGAAAGGGAAGAUUUUAUUUCAGAGAAGUGGGGGUCUGGGCAAGAGGGCAGGUGGGUUGUAGUUGGCUUACAGAGCUGUGUGUCAUCUGCAUAAUAGUGAAAAUGGAUGUUCUAGAAGAUAGUAUGGAGGGGAAGAAGGUAGAUUAUAAAAAGAUGAGGAAAAAGUUGGGGUCCAAGGAUAGAGCCCUGGGGCACACCAGUUGUAACAAAAGACAUUAAUGGGAACUAAAGGAUUUAAGUUCUACGAGCUGAGUGUGGCCAGCAAAGUAAGAAUCAAACAUGUCAAGGGGGUGUAUGUGAUUCCAGUUGAAGAUAAUCUGUGGAGAAGGAUGGAGUUAGAAAUUGUAUUGAAGUCUACACUCAGAUCCAGAGGAAUGAAAAUGGAAAGUAAUCCAAUAUCAGCUGCCAUUAGAAGCUGGUUGGUGAUUUUUAUGAGGGUGGUUUAACUACUGUAGUGCGUACGAAGAACAGACUGGAAUUCUUUAUGAAGGUGAUUAUACGUAAAAUAGGAGUGAACCUGGAAGGCAACUGUUUUUUCUCAGUUUUGUUUUAGUACUUUGGAGAUAAAAGCUAAUUUUGACACGGGGGGAGAGUAUUUUAGUUGUUGGGAUCUGAGCCAUAUAUCUUCCGUAUUUGAGUGAUAAUGUUGAUUUUGAAGAAUGCAUCUGAUGGCUGGACAAUAAUACUGAACUGUGAAAACAAAGUCCUGAUGUUACCUUCAUGGAACAGAUAAAAUCACAACAGCAACUCUAUUUAAUUUGAGCAGUUAAUUCAUUUUACUGUACUGUGUGGUACAUGUAAGAUAAGAUAAGAUAAGAUAUGAUAGGGUUUUAUUGAUCUCACAGUGAAAAAAUGUACUUGUCACACUUCGGCUAAUAAACAAAAAGAAAGGCUCCAAAGGAGGAAAUGUGCAUAAGGUAUAAGGUAUAUACAGUGUGUCCACAUAUGUACAGUGUAUCAAAAAUAAAAAAAAGUAAAAUAAAAGCACAGUGGAAAUAAGCAGAUAUUUAGGGUGACUUAUGUACGCUCAGGUGACUUAUAUACAAAUGGAAUGACGUUUUACAUUAAGUGGUACCAGGUAAGAGCAACAGUGAGCUAGUGAGAUGUCUAUGCAGCUAAUCUAAACAGGAUAAUUUAAAAUUAUUCUUGUACAGGUUAUUGCAUAGUGUCUUAAAUAGAAUUGCACAGUAGUUAUUGUAAGGUAAAUGUUGUCAACUUGAACCUCUUCAAAAGAAAACAGGAUUAACAAUUCACAUAGAAAUGGACAGAACUCAGAGUGCAGCGGUAAAACAGGGGGCAGACAGUUUAGAAUGUUACUCAAACAGUCAUAAAGAGGUGCAAGCUUAUCUGGGGUGGUAGAAGGAUCUGGAAUCAGAGUUCUGAGGAUAUCAGAGGAAAGGAUAUCCACUUUAAUGCCCCUGUUUUUAAUGAGCUAACUUGCAGAGUCUUAGUUAUGGAGAAACAGAGACAAAUGUUCAAUGAAUGGAGGAAAGAAUUGGCGAUUUAAAAAUCAUUUGCUGAAAACUUGUAGAGGGUGAGGCCAGAGCCAGAGGUCCUGGGGAAGAAGUCCAGGGUAUGGCCUUUGAUGUGUGCGUUUCCAGACAUCGUAGGAAGUUCCUGGUGAUGUAAAGGUUAUUUUUACCUUGGCUAAAUUAAGUCUUAAAUUCAAUUAAACACCUUUUGAGUUUUAAUACCUUUAUUUUGUUUGUUAAAAUCAAAAACACAAUUUUACGUAUUUUUUUAAUUAUCAUUUUAGACCCAGUUUUAAAAAAAGACAGGUCAAAUCCAAUUUUACUUUCAGGUUGUUUGACUAUUUUUAUUAAAGGAGAUCUGGCAAUAACUAUCAAAAGUAAUGUUUUUACAUUGGUUCACGUUAACGUGCUUUAUCUUUGAUCUGCUACAUGUUGAUUUAGAUGUUUAGGCAUCAGUGUUUUGUUUUUUCACUUACCAACAGAAUACACACUCAUUGGAAAAUCUGUAAAGAUCUUUUUAUGGCCUUUUAGUUUUAUGAAUGUGAAAAGAAAAUUGGAAAAUGAACCUGUCACCUUACUCACUUAUCUUUUUCCAUAUGUCCACAAAAAAAUCUAACUAUAUACUGUUCCAGAUUACUUAAGAAAACUAUUUGGGAGUUUCAACAUCUUAGUGCCUCUGUAUUAUUAUUCUCUGUAUUAUUAUCUUUUUUUUGUUUGUUUUAUUUGCUGUC